UACAGAGGUCCCAAGCGUUGUUCGGAUUCACUGGGCGUAAAGGGUGCGUAGGCGGUCGGGUAAGUCUGAUGUGAAAUCUCGAAGCCUAACUUCGAAACUGCAUUGGAUACUAAUUCGGCUAGAGGAGUGGAAGGGGAGACUGGAAUGCUCGGUGUAGCAGUGAAAUGCGUAGAUAUCGAGCGGAACACCAGUGGCGAAGGCGAGUCCCUGGACAACUCCUGACACUGAUGCACGAAAGCUAGGGGAGCAAACAGG
rnacentral:rRNA from 1 species